GUCAAGUCAUCAUGGCCCUUACGGCCUGGGCGUACACACGUGCUACAAUGGUCGGUACAAAGGGUUGCCAAGCCGCGAGGUGGAGCUAAUCCCAUAAAACCGAUCGUAGUCCGGAUCGCAGUCUGCAACUCGACUGCGUGAAGUCGGAAUCGCUAGUAAUCGUGAAUCAGAAUGUCACGGUGAAUACGUUCCCGGGCCUU
rnacentral:rRNA from 1 species